AAGUCAUAUUGGGGGCAUUUUCUGAUCAGUUCCGGAAAUCUUGUCCAAGCAGCACACAGAUUCUCUCCAGAUUGUUGGGUGAAGUUGGUAAUCUCAUUUACCAACUU